rnacentral:rRNA from 1 species
UAGGGAAUAUUGCACAAUGGGGGGAACCCUGAUGCAGCCACGCCGCGUGUGUGAAGAAGGCCUUCGGGUUGUAAAGCACUUUCAGAGGGGAGGAAAAUGACGUUACCCUCAGAAGAAGCACCGGCUAACUCCGUGCCAGCAGCCGCGGUAAUACGGAGGGUGCAAGCGUUAAUCGGAAUAACUGGGCGUAAAGGGCAUGCAGGCGGUUCUGCAAGUAGGGUGUGAAAGCCCGGGGCUCAACCUCGGAAUUGCACUCUAAACUGUGGGACUAGAGUAUUGCAGGGGGAGACGGAAUUCCAGGUGUAGCGGUGGAAUGCGUAGAGAUCUGGAAGAACACCAAAGGCGAAGGCAGUCUCCUGGGCAAAUACUGACGCUCAUAUGCGAAAGCGUGGGUAGCAAACAG